rnacentral:lncRNA from 1 species
GGCCCAUUUGUGUUCUCUAUUGAAUCCCUAUAUUUUACUCAAUCAACUCAAACUCUCAAAUAGAAAUAUCAAAAUCAGGUUUGGCCAAAAAUUUCAAGAGUUCGGAUCAACAAGAUCCGAAGUCUAAACAAAAUAUGUAUGAGGGAUUUCACAUCAAAAAUCAAUUUUCAUUUGUUAUAUAGAUUUUCAUUUUUUUAUAAUUUUACGAUUUAUUUUUUCCUAUUUUUGGGAUUUUUGAGCCUUUUUUUUUCAACUAGGGCAGGACUCGGGACUGACUGACUGACGCCACUGGGCACCACCGCAGUGCUGGAGCAAUUCUGUACUUUAAAGCACUGGAACAGAGGAAACAAAAGAUCAAACCUUACAAAUGAGAACAAAACAAGAAGAAAUUGUCCGCAUGAAGAUUUCCAAAUUAAAACCAUACCCAAGAUUCCCAGAUACAAAGGAUCAAAACACUGAAGUUACUGUAGUGUUUACAGAUAUAGUGGUAUUCAAUAAAAGACCCUGUAAGCCCACGAAAAUUAUCAAGUAGUUCAGCCCCAACAAUUUCCACGAAUACACAACUAUUGCCAGUUUGUAUCGAAAGGAAACCUGAAAGAGGUAGGAAAACAUAGGAUCAAAACCACCAAAUGCUCUACCAGAGAAUCCAUAAAACCUCAC